rnacentral:rRNA from 1 species
ACGGGGGGAGCAAGCGUUGUUCGGAUUUACUGGGCGUAAAGGGCGCGUAGGCGGUCAGCACAAGUCAGUUGUGAAAUCUCCGGGCUUAACUCGGAAAGGUCAACUGAUACUGUGCGACUAGAGUGCAGAAGGGGCAACUGGAAUUCUUGGUGUAGCGGUGAAAUGCGUAGAUAUCAUUUGGAACGCCAAUGGUGAAAACAGGUAGCUGGGGCUGUGCUGACGCUGAGACACGAAAGCCAGGGGAGCAAACGGGA